AAAUGAGGUCUGUCAUCGGAUUCACACAAGUGGUGGAGUUGCUUCAUCAACACGGUGCCCCUGAAGAGGUGUUAAACACGUACUUAAAAUUGAUUGAAGACCAAAACCAGCGAGUUUCUUUGGCGACGAAAACGAAAUGUCACAAUUUAGCUAUAGAGACUUUAGCGGCGAUGAAGGAUCGACAACAACUU